rnacentral:lncRNA from 1 species
GGUGUGUGGACAUUUGAGAUGUGGUCUGGAGUCCUCACAGUGGUGUUUCUAAGCAUGAAACCAAGGAUUUGUUUCAUGUGCCUGCAAAGCAGCACAAAGGCUGAGGAUGGUGUGAAGAUUUCCUGCAAGAAGCUUCUCUGAGCUACGUAGCUAUGGUCCAGGAGGAAAAAGAGCCUUGCAAGAAUAAAGUAAUGGAUGAGAUACUUAAUUCUAUUUCUGUAAAAGGUGCUUCUCACAGUGUUUUGUGGGCUUUAGGUUGGCACAAAAGAAAUCUCAUCUCACUCAAGUGCUGGGAGCUUGAUUCUCACAUUCACUCACUAUAUAAAAAGCUGACAAAAUUCCGAGGAACUAUCAGGAAUUUGAUUGAUUGCUGGACUCUGUAACCACCAAAGGUUUCCCUCUAAUCAACACAAGUGUCACUACACAGCACGAUGUUGCCUGAUCUCAAAGCAGAGCUAAGAAGUGCUAUUUCCCAGUUUCAUCUGCUUUCUUAUGAACUGAGAGGAAGUUUUAACUUGCUUCAAGCAAAGGAGAUAAUUUUUGGGCAGUUGCUCUAAUCAUUAGAGGAUAAAACAGCUGUCCCAUUCAGCCUGCACAUGAAUUGCACAAGGAACUUGGGGACCAAAGGAUUACCCCUUUAAAAUACAUAGCUUAAAACUCUGCUAGUACUGAAUGUUGC